UACAGAGGUGGCAAGCGUUGUUCGGAAUUACUGGGCGUAAAGGGCGCGUAGGCGGUCUUGUAAGUCUCGUGUGAAAUCCCUCGGCUUAACUGAGGAACUGCACGGGAUACUGCAUGACUUGAGAUCGGGAGAGGGAAGCGGAAUUCCGGGUGUAGCGGUGAAAUGCGCAGAUAUCAGGAGGAACACCAAUUGCGAAGGCAGCUCGCUGGGACGUUACUGACGCUGAGACGCGAAAGCGUGGGGAGCAAACAGG
rnacentral:rRNA from 1 species